rnacentral:rRNA from 1 species
CUACGGGUUGCACCAGUGGGGAAUAUUGGACAAUGGGCGCAAGCCUGAUCCAGCAAUGCCGCGUGAGUGAAGACGGCCUUAGGGUCGUAAAACUCUUUCGCUAGGGAAGAUAAUGACUGUACCUAGUAAAGAAGUCCCGGCUAACUCCGUGCCAGCAGCCGCGGUAAUACGGAGGGGACUAGCGUUGUUCGGAAUUACUGGGCGUAAAGAGUUCGUAGGCGGACUGACAAGUUAGAGGUGAAAUCCCAGGGCUCAACCCUGGAACUGCCUUUAAAACUGUCAGUCUAGAGACCGGAAGAGGUUAGGGGAAUACCUAGUGUAGAGGUGAAAUUCGUAGAUAUUAGGUGGAACACCAGUGGCGAAGGCGCCUAACUGGUCCGGUACUGACGCUGAGGAACGAAAGCGUGGGGAGCAAACAGGAUUAGAUACCCGUGUAGUC